ensembl:lncRNA
CGGAAAUAACGGGAAUAACCUCGACAGAGACAGAAACUUAUGUCAGAAAAUUAACUGACAAGUCAAGAACAACAACUGAAGUAACAAAAAAAAAAAAAAACGGGAAUAAAGGAAAUAAUAACGGAAAUAACGGAAAUAACCUCCACAGAGUCAGAAACAUACGGCAGAAUAUUAAAUGACAGGUCUAGAACAACAACAGAAAUAACGGAAAUAUCGGAAAUAACGGAAAUAACCUCCACAAUGACAGAAACAUGUGGCAGAAAAUUAGGUGAGUGGACAAGAACAACAACGGAAAGAACAGAAAAAAAACGAAAAAAGGGAAAUAAUAACGGAAAUAAAAGAAAAAAAUAACAGAAAUAAUAACGGAAAUAACGGAAAUAUAGGAAAUAACGGAAAUAACGUAAAUUAUAACGGUAAUAACGGAAAUAACCACCACAGAGACAGAAACAUACGGCAGAAAAUUAAAUGACAGGUCUAGAACAACAACAGAAAUAACGGAAAUAACGGAAAUAACGGAAAUAACAAAAAUAACAGAAAAACGGAAAUAACGGAAAGAAUGGAAAGAACCUUCAGAGAGACAGAAACAUACGGCAGAAAAUUAGGUGACAGGUGACGAACAACAACGGCAAUAACAGAAAAAAAACGAAGUAACGGUAAUAGAAACAGAAAUAACAGAAAUAAUAAAGGAAAUAUCAAAAAUAAUAACACAAAUAAGAACGGAAAUAAGAGCAGAAAUAACGGAAAUAAUAACGGAAAUAAUAACCUAAAUAACGGAAAUAACGGAAAUAACGGAAAUAACCUCCACAGAGUCAGAAACUUACAGCAGAAAAUUAACUGACAGGUCAAAGGCAACAAUUAAAAUAAUGGAAAUAACGGAAAGAACGUAAAGAACCUCCACAGAAACAGAAACAUACAACAGAAAUUUAAGUGACAGGUCAAGAACAACAACGGAAAUAACGGAAAGAACGGAAAGAACGGAAAAUAGCCACCGAAAGACAUAAACAUACGGCAGAAAAUUAGGUGACAGGUCAAUAACAACAAUGGAAAGAACGGAAAGAACGGAAAGAACCUCCAGAGAGACAGAAACAUACGGCAAAAACUUAGGUGACAGGUCAAGAACAACUACGGAAAGAACGGAAAGAACGGAAAUAACCUCCACAGAGCGAGAAACAUAUGGCAGAAAAUUAGGUGACAGGUCAAGAACAACAACGGAAAUAACGGAAACAACGGAAAUAACAGAAAGAACGGAAAUAAUAACGGUAAAAACGAAAAUAACCUUUAGAGAUACAGAAACAUACGUCAGACAAUUUGGUGACAGAUCAAGAACAACAACGGAAAUAACUUAAAUAACGGAAAUAACGGAAAUAACCUCCACAGAGACAGAAACAUUCGGCAGAAAAUUAGGUGACAGAUCAAGAACAACAACGGUAAUAACUGAAAUAACGGAAAUAACGGAAAUAACCUCGACAGAGACAGAAACUUAGGGCAGAAAAUUAGGUGACAGGUCAAGAACAACAACGGAAAGAACUGAAAGAACAGAAAGAACUGGAAGAACGGAAAGAACGGAAAUAAACUCCGCAGAGACAGAAACAUAUGGCAGAAAAUUAAGUAACAAGUCAAGAACAAAAACGGAAAUAACUGAAAUAACAGAAAUAACGGAAAUAAAGGAAAUAACGGAAAUAACGGAAAUAAAGGAAAUAACCUCCACAAAGACAGAAACAUACGGCAGAAAUUUAAGUGACAGGUCGAGAACAACAACGGAAAUAACUGAAAUAACGGAAAUAACAGAAAGAACGGAAAUAAUAACGGUAAAAACGAAAAUAACCUUUAGAGAUACAGAAACAUACGUCAGACAAUUUGGUGACAGAUCAAGAACAACAACGGAAAUAACGGAAAUAACGGAAAUAACGGAAAUAACCUCGACAGAGACAGAAACUUACGGCAGAAAAUUACGUGACAGGUCAAGAACAACAAUGGAAAGAACGGAAAGAACCUCUAGAGAGACAGAAACAUACGGCAAAAACUUAGGUGACAGGUCAAGAACAACAAUGGAAAUAACAGAAAAAACCGAAAUAAUGGAAAUAAUAACAAAAAAAAAAACGGAAAUAACGGAAAUAACGGAAAUAACCUCCACAAAGACAGAAACAUAUGGCAGAAAAUUUAGUGACAUGUCAAGAAUAACAACGGAAAGAACGGAAAGAAAGGAAAGAACGGAAAGAACCUCCAGAGAGACAGAAACAUACGGCAGAAAAUUAGGAGACAGGCGAAGAAUAACAACGGAAAUAACAGAAAAAAACAAGAUAACGGAAAUAAUAACGGAAAUAACAAAAAUAAUAACGGAAAUAACAAAAAUAAUAACGCAAAUAAGAACGGAAAUAAGAGCAGAAAUAAC